GGCCUUGACAUACUAAGAACUUUCCAGAGAUGGAUUGGUGCCUUCGGGAACUUAGAUACAGGUGCUGCAUGGCUGUCGUCAGCUCGUGUCGUGAGAUUGUUGGGUUAAGUCCCGNAACGAGCGCAACCCUUUUCCUUAUUUGCCAGCGGGUCAUGCCGGGAACUUUAAGGAUACUGCCAGUGACAAACUGGAGGAAGGCGGGGACGACGUCAAGUCAUCAUGGCCCUUACGGCCAGGGCUACACACGUGCUACAAUGGUCGGUACAAAGGGUUGCUACCUCGCGAGAGGAUGCUAAUCUCAAAAAGCCGAUCGUAGUCCGGAUCGCAGUCUGCAACUCGACUGCGUGAAGUCGGAAUCGCUAGUAAUCGCGGAUCAGAAUGCCGCGGUGAAUACGUUCCCGGGCCUUGUACACACCGCCCGUCACACCAUGGGAGUUUGUUGCACCAGAAGUAGGUAGUCUAACCGCAAGGAGGACGCUUACCACGGUGUGGCCGAUGACUGGGGUGAAGUCGUAACAAGGUAAGCGUAGAUGA
rnacentral:rRNA from 1 species